AGCAGUUGGUGUAAUGGUUAGAGUGUUGGGCUGCCAACUCAAAGGUCGAUGGUUCAACUCCAGACGGUGCCA
rnacentral:tRNA from 1 species